rnacentral:rRNA from 1 species
GUCUACAGCUAUACCACUCUGAGUACAACCGAUCGCAUCUGCUCUUGGAAGCCAGAGUCAGGCAUGAUUAGUACUUGGAUGGGAGAAAAUACAAAGUCAUAUACA